rnacentral:rRNA from 1 species
CCUACGGGAGGCAGCAGUGGGGAAUAUUGCACAAUGGGGGGAACCCUGAUGCAGCAACGCCGCGUGGGUGAAGAAGUACUUCGGUAUGUAAAGCCCUGUCAGCAGGGAGGAAAAUGACGGUACCUGACCAAGAAGCCCCGGCUAACUACGUGCCAGCAGCCGCGGUAAUACGUAGGGGGCACGCGUUAUCCGGAUUUACUGGGUGUAAAGGGAGCGUAGACGGCAAGGCAAGUCUGGAGUGAAAGCCCGUGGCUCAACCACGGGACUGCUUUGGAACCUGUGUUGCUGGAGUGCAGGAGGGGUAAGCGGAAUUCGUGGUGUAGCGGUGAAAUGCGUAGAUAUUAGGAGGAACACCGGUGGCGAAGGCGGCUUACUGGACUGUAACUGACGUUGAGGCUCGAAGGCGUGGGGAGCAAACAGGAUUAGAUACCCGAGUAGUC